UGGGGAAUAUUGCACAAUGGGCGCAAGCCUGAUGCAGCCAUGCCGCGUGUAUGAAGAAGGCCUUCGGGUUGUAAAGUACUUUCAGCGAGGAGGAAGGCGUUGUGGUUAAUAACCGCAACGAUUGACGUUACUCGCAGAAGAAGCACCGGCUAACUCCGUGCCAGCAGCCGCGGUAAUACGGAGGGUGCAAGCGUUAAUCGGAAUUACUGGGCGUAAAGCGCACGCAGGCGGUCUGUCAAGUCGGAUGUGAAAUCCCCGGGCUCAACCUGGGAACUGCAUCCGAAACUGGCAGGCUAGAGUCUUGUAGAGGGGGGUAGAAGUCCAGGUGUAGCGGUGAAAUGCGUAGAGAUCUGGAGGAAUACCGGUGGCGAAGGCGGCCCCCUGGACAAAGACUGACGCUCAGGUGCGAAAGCGUGGGGAGCAAACA
rnacentral:rRNA from 1 species